rnacentral:rRNA from 1 species
AACGAACGCUGGCGGCAUGCCUAACACAUGCAAGUCGAACGAGACCUUCGGGUCUAGUGGCGCACGGGUGCGUAACGCGUGGGAACCUGCCCUUAGGUUCGGAAUAACUCCCCGAAAGGGGUGCUAAUACCGGAUAAUGUCUUCGGACCAAAGAUUUAUCGCCUUUGGAUGGGCCCGCGUUGGAUUAGCUAGUUGGUAGGGUAAAAGCCUACCAAGGCGACGAUCCAUAGCUGGUCUGGGAGGAUGAUCAGCCACACUGGGACUGAGACACGGCCCAGACUCCUACGGGAGGCAGCAGUGGGGAAUAUUGGACAAUGGGCGAAAGCCUGAUCCAGCAAUGCCGCGUGAGUGAUGAAGGCCUUAGGGUUGUAAAGCUCUUUUACCCGGGAUGAUAAUGACAGUACCGGGAGAAUAAGCUCCGGCUAACUCCG